CCUACGGGGGGCAGCAGUGAGGAAUAUUGGUCAAUGGCCGGAAGGCUGAACCAGCCAAGCCGCGUGAAGGACGAAGGUGCCAAGCAUUGUAAACUUCUUUUGUCAAGGGACAAAAUCAGGCUCGAGAGCCUGACCGAGGGUACUUGAAGAAAAAGCAUCGGCUAACUCCGUGCCAGCAGCCGCGGUAAUACGGAGGAUGCGAGCGUUAUCCGGAUUUAUUUGGUUUAAAGGGUGCGUAGGCGGACGAUUAAGUAAGCGGUAAAAGCCCGGGGCUAAACCCCGGCGAGCCGUUGAAACUGGCUGUGUUGAGAUGUCGAGAGGUAUGCGGAAUGCGUAGUGUAGCGGUGAAAUGCUUAGAUAUUGCGCAGAACUCCGAUUGCGAAGGCAGCAUACCGGCGGCGAUCUGACGCUGAGGCACGAAAGCGUGGGUAUCGAACAGGAUUAGAUACCCUGGUAGUC
rnacentral:rRNA from 1 species